rnacentral:rRNA from 1 species
AACAAUGCAAGUCGAGCGGUAACAGGUCCAGCUUGCUGGAUGCUGACGAGCGGCGGACGGGUGAGUAACGCAUAGGAAUCUACCCGGUAGUGGGGGAUAACCUGGGGAAACCCAGGCUAAUACCGCAUACGUCCUACGGGAGAAAGGGGGCUUCGGCUCCCGCUAUUGGAUGAGCCUAUGCCGGAUUAGCUGGUUGGUGAGGUAAUGGCUCACCAAGGCGACGAUCCGUAGCUGGUCUGAGAGGAUGAUCAGCCACAUCGGGACUGAGACACGGCCCGAACUCCUACGGGAGGCAGCAGUGGGGAAUAUUGGACAAUGGGGGCAACCCUGAUCCAGCCAUGCCGCGUGUGUGAAGAAGGCCCUCGGGUUGUAAAGCACUUUCAGCGAGGAAGAACGCCUGUCGGUUAAUACCCGGCAGGAAAGACAUCACUCGCAGAAGAAGCACCGGCUAACUCCGUGCCAGCAGCCGCGGUAAUACGGAGGGUGCAAGCGUUAAUCGGAAUUACUGGGCGUAAAGCGCGCGUAGGUGGCUUGAUAAGCCGGUUGUGAAAGCCCCGGGCUCAACCUGGGAACGGCAUCCGGAACUAUGAGGCUAGAGUGCAGGAGAGGAAGGUAGAAUUCCCGGUGUAGCGGUGAAAUGCGUAGAGAUCGGGAGGAAUACCAGUGGCGAAGGCGGCCUUCUGGACUGACACUGACACUGAGGUGCGAAAGCGUGGGUAGCAAACAGGAUUAGAUACCCUGGUAGUCCACGCCCGUAAACGAUGUCGACCAGCCGUUGGGUGCCUAGCGCACUUUUGUGG